AACGCACAUUGCGCCCUCUGGUAUUCCGGGGGGCAUGCCUGUUCGAGCGUCAUUAUAACCAAUCACGUAAGUGGUCUUGGGGCUUGCCGUCGGCAUCCCUUAAAAGCAGUGGCAGUGCUAUAGGCUCUCAGCGCAGUAAUUAUUUCGCUCUUGAGCCCUAGAAACACUCGCCAGAACCCCAACUUUCUCAGGUUGACCUCGGAUCAGGUAGGGAUACCCGCUGAACUUAA
rnacentral:misc_RNA from 1 species